GGCAUUGUUAUAGGCAGCAAAUGGUGAGGGAAAGGAGAAUAGAAAGCAUAGAGAUGAGAAAUAGUGCAAUGGUGUGUGUGUGUGUGUGUGUGUGAAGACUUGAGUGUGUUAGAGGUAGACUUAGGUAUUUUGAAUAGACAUUAUUAUAGGCAGCAAACUAUUGAAGAUGGAGAGCAUAGAAAGGAGAAAAAGUGCAAUAGAGUGGGCGGUGACUCAAUCGUGUUAUGUUAUGUGAUGGUGAUAAUGAUUCAGGAUAUAUUUACCAAGUUACCAAGGAAGUUUUACCUUAUAGAGUUAUCGACCGUACAGUAAAACAGAAUAUCGUGAAAUCUCAAUAAUGCAUCAGAGUGUGUGAUGAUUGAUUCUUAGGGCCAUAUCAUAAGACAUUUCACUGCCCAAGAACACAUAUUUGACAAGGCUUUCGUAUGAGUUGUGGGCAUUUCCAGGAGUAGUUUUAUGACCCUGGUGGUAGUGUGACCCUUCUUCUUUACCGUGAACCUAAGGAAACACUCAUUAGAACGCAACUGACCCCCUCUUUGACCUUUAGAAAUUGUUAAUGUGAGAACCGAGAGUAUCUUAUAUUACCAGCCUUAAUGAUUGGGUUAUGUUGAGGGGUGUACUACUUAAGAUUCAUCCUGGUUUUGUCGAGUAGAGAGGCGGAAUGAGUGUGUUAUGAAUCAGUUGUUACAUACAGAGUUGCACGUGUAGAAUUCAGGUUAAUUACUCAUAAGUCAACCGCACUCCCUGGUUACCUACUCGGACCUCAGCGCAGAGAUCUGUUUUUAUUUAUUUAUUUAUUUAUUUAUUUAUUUUUUCACUCGUGUAUUUUGUAGCAUAAUGAAGAUCUUGAAACUAAUACAUGCACAUUGUUGUUGUUUUUUCGUGUUUUUGUUUUGUCUUGAUUUCCUUUUUUUGUAGUCAUUAUGUGUGUGUGUGUGUGUGUGUGUGUGUGUGUGUGUGUGUGUGUGUGUUACUGAGUCUCUUCGUUUCCGUAAGAUAUAUACUUUGUCAAUUUCCCGUGUUAGAUGUAUUCCUGGGACUACAUAUUGUUACAGUUAUACAUACAAAUGCAAUAUCAACAUUUACAUACAUCCAUACAUCCAUACACCCAUAUCUUUGUGUUCACUUAUGAAACUGUAAUACCGUUCCCCCCUCCCCCCUCUUCCUCGCCUCAUUGUUAGGUGUUCUGAGGUGUUCAUUUUGAUUGUACUAUGUUCCGUAAAUGUUCCGUCACUCAUUUAGGAGACAAUAAAGGAGAGAUAACUGA